rnacentral:rRNA from 1 species
GUCGAACGCUGGCGGCGUGCCUAAUACAUGCAAGUAGAACGCCGUUGCGAAAGGGUGAGUAACGUGUAGGUAACUGCCUCAUUGCGGGGGAUUACUAUUGGAAACGAUAGCUAAUACCGCACACUGUGAGAUGGACCUGCGUUGUAUUAGCGAGUUGGUGGGGGAAAGGCUCACCAAGGCGACGAUACAUAGUCGGCCUGAGAUGGGGAAAGGCCAACCUGGGACUGAGACACCGGCCAGGAUCCUACAGGAGGGAGCAAUAGGGAAAUUUCGGAAAUGGACGGAAGUCUGACCGAGCAACGCCGCGUGGAUGGAGAAGGUUUUCGGAUCGUAAAGCUCUGUUAUUAGAGAAGCGGUAACUAGCCAGAAAGGUACGGCUAACUACGUGCCAGCCGCCGCGGUAAUAC